rnacentral:lncRNA from 1 species
AGAUGCUUCCUGUCCUCAAACAUCGGACUCCAAAUUCUUCAGCUUUGGGACGGACUGGCUUCCUUGCUCCUCAGCUUGCAGACAGCCGACUGUGGGACCUUGUGAUCAUUUUGGAAACAGAUACUGCAAUCCCAGAAAAUCUUGCCAUAAGAAGAGCCUAGCCAAUAGUUUGACUGCGAUUUCAUGGGAGACCUCAAGGCAGAGUGAUCCAGAAUACCACAGUCUGGAGGCUAUGAAGUCCAUGAUUAAGAAGCCAGCACGUUUGCUUUCUGGUUCCAAGAUGGCAUACCUUUUUGCUGCUUCCUCCAGAGAGGAGGAACACUGUGUUCUCACAUAGUAGAAGAUGGAAGGAGCAGAUGCAGAUGAGCAUGGCAAUGUGAGAAUAUGUCAGAGGCCCCAGGAUGAAAUGAGCUCAAGUCCCUGAAAUCCCUGUUAGAAGAGUCUUUCCACUGGUUGGGAAUGCUAAUUGUAUUUUGACAACUCAAUGUUUCAGCAACUCAAAAUGUUACAGCUUCUGCAUUGGAAUAAAAAAA